rnacentral:rRNA from 1 species
UCUACGGGAGGCAGCAGUGGGGAAUAUUGCACAAUGGGCGCAAGCCUGAUGCAGCGACGCCGCGUGAGGGAUGACGGCCUUCGGGUUGUAAACCUCUUUUGUUAGGGAGCAAGCGAGAGUGAGUGUACCUUUCGAAUAAGCACCGGCUAACUACGUGCCAGCAGCCGCGGUAAUAUGCAAGCGUUAUCCGGAAUUAUUGGGCGUAAAGAGCUCGUAGGCGGCUUGUCGCGUCCGGUGUGAAAGUCCAUCGCUUAACGGUGGAUCUGCGCCGGGUACGGGCAGGCUAGAAUGCGGUAGGGGAGACUGGAAUUCCCGGUGUAACGGUGGAAUGUGUAGAUAUCGGGAAGAACACCAAUGGCGAAGGCAGGUCUCUGGGCCGUUAUUGACGCUGAGGAGCGAAAGCGUGGGGAGCGAACAGGAUUAGAUACCCUGGUAGUCCACGCCGUAAACGGUGGACGCUGGAUGUGGGGCCCGUUCCACGGGUUCCGUGUCGGAGCUAACGCGUUAAGCGUCCCGCCUGGGGAGUACGGCCGCAAGGCUAAAACUCAAAGAAAUUGACGGGGGCCCGCACAAGCGGCGGAGCAUGCGGAUUAAU